GGCAACGCAUAAUAUUUUCAGUAUGUCCAUGCAAGAAUCAGAACACUGCAUUAGUGAUGCAUGGACUAUCUACCUUUGCAUGAGAAAAAAUCCCUGAAUUCCAAAUAUAAAGACAGGGGAAAGGACCAAAAAGAAGAAAAGAAAUGUGACUAAUGGUAAUACAAGAGACAUACAGCUCCCGGACGUGAAAGUGGCCAUCAUUAUGUGAUCUCCCGAAGCAUAUUAUGCCAGUCCAGUUUGAAUUGCACGGGUCACCCUUUGCCCAGUUACUUAAAUUUCUCAUAGGAUCAAUUAGACUCCUUUUGAUCUCCCGCAAAGCAUUUACUGCAAAAUGGAUAAAAAUAUAAGCAAACUUCUGGAAAGCAGUCUCCACGUUGUAGAAUGAUUUGGGUAGAGGGUGGAGCCUGAAACGCUACCAAUCAAACAUUGAGAGGAAGACUAGUG